UACGUAGGUGACAAGCGUUGUCCGGAUUUACUGGGCGUAAAGAGCGCGCAGGCGGUCGAUCAAGUCGAGUGUGAAAGCCCCCGGCUCAACUGGGGAGGGUCAUUCGAUACUGAUCGACUCGAAGGCAGGAGAGGGUAGUGGAAUUCCCGGUGUAGUGGUGAAAUGCGUAGAUAUCGGGAGGAACACCAGUGGCGAAGGCGGCUCUCUGGUACGUGACUGACGCUGAGACGCGAAAGCGUGGGGAGCGAACAGG
rnacentral:rRNA from 1 species